rnacentral:rRNA from 1 species
CCUACGGGUGGCAGCAGUGAGGAAUAUUGGUCAAUGGGCGAGAGCCUGAACCAGCAAAGUCGCGUGAGGGAAGACGGUCCUAUGGAUUGUAAACCUCUUUUGCCGGGGAGCAAAAAGCGGUACGUGUACCGCAUCGAGAGUACCCGGAGAAAAAGCAUCGGCUAACUCCGUGCCAGCAGCCGCGGUAAUACGGAGGAUGCGAGCGUUAUCCGGAUUUAUUGGGUUUAAAGGGUGCGCGGGCGGCGAGUUACGUCAGCGGUAAAAUUUCGGGGCUCAACCCCGACGAGCCGUUGAAACUGGCUUGCUAGAGUGGGGGAGAAGUAUGCGGAAGGCGUGGUGUAGCGGUGAAAUGCGCAGAUAGCACGAAGAACACCGAUGGCGAAGGCAGCAUACCGGUGCGCAACUGACGCUCAGGCACGAAAGCGUGGGGAUCGAACAGGAUUAGAUACCCUAGUAGUC